rnacentral:rRNA from 1 species
CAACUCGCCUGCAUGAAGUCGGAAUUGCUAGUAAUCGUAGGUCAGCAUACUACGGUGAAUACGUUCCCGGGCCUUGUACACACCGCCCGUCAAACCAUGAGAGUUGGCAACACCCGAAGUCGGUAGUCUAACCGCAAGGAGGACGCCGCCGAAGGUGGGGGUUGAUGAUUAGGGUUAAGUCGUAACAAGGUACC